AGAACGAACGCUGGCGGCAUGCCUAAUACAUGCAAGUCGAACGAAGGCUUCGGCCUUAGUGGCGCACGGGUGCGUAACGCGUGGGAAUCUGCCCCUUGGUUCGGAAUAACAGUUGGAAACGACUGCUAAUACCGGAUGAUGACGAAAGUCCAAAGAUUUAUCGCCAAGGGAUGAGCCCGCGUAGGAUUAGCUAGUUGGUGAGGUAAAGGCUCACCAAGGCGACGAUCCUUAGCUGGUCUGAGAGGAUGAUCAGCCACACUGGGACUGAGACACGGCCCAGACUCCUACGGGAGCAGCAGUAGGGAAUAUUGGACAAUGGGCGAAAGCCUGAUCCAGCAAUGCCGCGUGAGUGAUGAAGGUCCGUUAGGGUUAGU
rnacentral:rRNA from 1 species